rnacentral:lncRNA from 10 species
CCUUUUUAACAUGUCAUAAAAUUUUUUGUGAAAAGCUGGACUUAAUGUAUUGGAGAAUUGAAACUGAGUUGGAAGAUUCUGUGCCUGUUGUCAAGGUGACACUCCCCGGAAUUUUAAAGAGAAGUUUUAAAGUAGGAUGCUUUGGCUAGUAUUUGCAGAAACAUAUACACUUUUUUUACAUGAUAAGGAAAACAACAGAUAUUUAUUCUUCAUCCCAGGGGGAAAAAAACCCUUGGAGGAAUAAUUCAGAGGCAACAUCCUUAACGGGUGAUCAGUAGACACAAGACUCAUCCCAGUGAGCCACUGGUUCUGGCAGCUGUGUGACUUUGGACAGAGAUAUCUACAAUCUUUCAAUAUUGUUUGUGCACCAACUGCAUUCUCCACGUUGUAUUACUGCAGAUUUAUUGAUGAGUAAAACAAAUUCCUACCCUCAAGGAGUUUGCAAGCAAAAGAGUGAAAUGAAGAUGAAAGUGCAAUGCUCCACUGUCUUUUCGUGUGCUCAGAGAUUACUUUCUUAAUCUUUAAAAUGAAAGGCUUUUGCCUAAAUGACUGAGUGAUGUUGCACCUAUAACCCUAAUAUUCUUUGAUUCCCAAGGACAAGAAUCAGAACUAACAAGGUAUAUAAUGACAAAAGAAUUUUCAUUAUGAGGAACUUAUCAAGAAAUCAUAGAGUGGAGAGACUUGCACUAAAAACACUUAAAAUGAAUGGGAAGCCCGUCAGCAUAUUGUAUGUCCAUAUUUUCCAAAAAGAGUUAAGUUUGUAAGCUACUGCAUAGGACCAUGGGAAUUCUGGAUGUCCUUGGACUGUAUCACAUGUGGUUUCUUGGCAUCUUAGAUGAUGCAAUUUUUUAUUGCUUUGUCCGUGCAAUAAACGCUGAUAAAUUUUUCGGUUUAAAAUUUACCAAGUCUGCUACUGUAUCCCAGAAUUCUCAAUGAAAGAAAAUAUUUACAGUUUUUAACAUUACAGGUAGAAAAAGGAUCAAAGUGAUUUUCUUAAAUUUCCUUCUAAUUCAUGGAAAAAAGAACACAGUCAGUGAGGGUCUUUGCUCCUGUUCCCCAAUUUUCUUUGUCCAAAUGGCUCAGCCUUGAAUUCAAGAGGAGUGGUGCAGGAUUUAAUUGCUCCCACUUGUCUUCCUUGUGCAAAACUGCAGCUAGAAGAGCAAAUGAUAAGUUGAGAAUAUUUAACACUCAGCAACAAUACCAGGAACUUGUUCAAACUUUGUUUUUGAAGCUUCUUGACCUUCCAAUGAUUUAUUUCUUCCACACAUGGUUUCAUUAGAACUUCACUUGGAGAAGAAGAGAAAUAGCAAAUAACAGCAUCUUUCAUCUAUAACCAGAAUAUUCCAAGCCUUUCAAAAGUUGUUGCAAAAAGAAUAAAGUAUGAGCUACCUAGGCCUUGUUUGUCUGAGUCUUGCAUCCUGCUCAUAAAAGUAACACAAAAUUUUUUCAACAAGGACUAAGAAUGAGCUUAUUAUUUUUUAACAUACAUACAAUUUAUUCAUGAUAAUAUUGCUAGUAGAAGCCUGGAAAUAACUGAGAUGCCAAUAAACAGGAAAAUUACUAAUUAUAUCUAUACAAUGAAAUCUAUGCAACUGAUUUAAAAUUAAGGAUGCACCCUCUUAUUUUUAGUGUGUAUGUAUAAAUGGAUACGUGGUAUGUUGUCAAAGAAGGUUUAGAAGUUCAAUUUAAAUAAUACUGAAGAUACCUGCUAUUGUAUAAGCAAUGAAAAUGCUAUACAGAUGUUCUGAAAUAAAACAAACACACCCAUACUCUGACCACUGAACUUUGGACCAGUAUUGCUCUUCAUUAGUAUCCUAAAAUGUAUGGACAUUUUAUGGGUCAUUGUUCCAAACCUGUCUUUGGAGCUAUUUGGAGUAGCACAGAACCAACCUGUCUUUAGAGCUUCCUUGAGCAGCACAGAAAAGGGACUUUCAGAGCUUCAGGAGACAGUAUUUCAUCCAAGUGCAGCUUCUGGAAGUGAAAUGUAUUUAGAAGGUUUGCUCUGCUAUUGUAAUUUCCCAAGUAGGCCCAUGUGACUCUGCAAACCCUAGGCCUGAGCCAGAUUUGUUUGAAAUGUCAGCCAAACUACCAGCACCUUACAUCAUGAUAUGGUCUGACUCUGUGUUCCCAUCCAAAUCUCAUAUCAAAUUGUAAUUCCCAGUGUUGCAGGAGGGGCCCAGUGGGAGGUGAUCGAAUCAUGGGGGUGGACCUCCCCCUUGCUGUUCUUGUGAUAGAAUUUUCCUUAUAUCUGCUUGUUUAAAAGUGUGUUUAAAGGCACCUUCCCCACACUUCCUGCCAGCCAUAUGAAGAUGGGCUUGCUUCCCUUUCAACUUCUGCCAUGAUUGUAAGUUUCCUGAGGCCUACCCAGAAACAGAAGCCUG